GUGAAUGUAUUUCCACAGUGUAUGAAUAGUUACAGUGAUUUUACCCGCUCUGCACUAUUGUGAAUGUGUUUCCAUAGUGUAUGAUCAGAUUAUCAGAGGUCUUUGGGACCCACUCUCGUACACGCAUAGGCUUUGGGCCGUGUACUAGGGUGAUUAGCCUUUGGGGCAGCUCUGCGUACGUAUGACCAGAUUAUCAGAUUAUCAGCUAUCAGAUUAUCAGAUUUGAAUGGCUUUGCCUUGUACAUCGAGAUUACUCUGUACAUGAGUAAGGCUAUUCAUUGGGUACUCUUUUUGGUGUGAUUUUUCAGUAUUUAUUCUAUUAUCAGAUUUCAGAUUAUGGAAUUCAGUUAAUUCAGUUUUCAGAAUAAACCUUUCAGCUUAUAGUAUUAAUGCAGCAAUAUUUCAUAAUUUUUCAUGGAUAUCAGAGUAUUUAUAGUCAUUAUGUUAUACAGUUGCCUUUUUAAAAUUAUGUCCAAGAAAUUAGGAUAUGAUCAUGUUUAGUUUUUAAAAGCGUCACUAUUUUUCAGAAGUUCUUAACGCUAAAUAGUGCAAGAAUUUUCAGAAAAUAGCAUAAAUGGAAAAGUUUAUUUAUUUUCAACUAUCCACUCACUGAGUUAUAAACUCAUAUCUUUUUACCAUGUUUUCCUAUCAGGAGAAGGUCGAUUAUGAGAUAUUUGGAAAGCCUGCUGAAGCAAAAGAGACCAUUUCCUAAGUAUGUAAUGAAUAGUUGGGAAACUUAUGUUUAUUAAGUAAUUGUCUAAUUUUGGGUGUCAAGUAUAUUUGUAGAAGGGUUUGUAAGUGAUGUAAUACUUGCAUGUUGACAGGAUGAUGUUGUAGAAGCACUCAGUCGAAUUUUGUUAUAUUUUGUAGUAGUUGUGGUGGUAUUAGAGGAAGUGGUGGUUUCCAAAGCUUUUGGUUUAAAUGUCUAUAUUGAGAUUUUGAUGAUUUUUCAGGUUGGUUUUGUCCAUAUUACAGGGGAAACUCUGUCAAAUUUUUCAUAGAUAUUAGCACAGUCAAAAUAGGUCAAGUUUGCCUUGGUGGUGGGUCCGGCAUUUAGCUGGCAUCUACUACCGGCGCACGACACGUGUCGAGUCAAUUAGGUUGAGUCGGGACGGG
rnacentral:lncRNA from 1 species